GCCGAUGUAGCUCAGUUGGCUAGAGCAGCUGAUUUGUAAUCAGCAGGUCGGGGGUUCGAAUCCCUCUAUCGGCU
rnacentral:tRNA from 1 species